GACGAACGCUGGCGGCAGGCCUAACACAUGCAAGUCGAACGGGUGUAGCAAUACAUCAGUGGCAGACGGGUGAGUAACACGUGGGAAUAUGCCUUUCGGUUUGGAACAACUCGGGGAAACCCGUGCUAAUUCCGGAUACGCCCUUAGGGGGAAAGGAUUUAUCGCCGAAAGAUUAGCCCGCGUCCGAUUAGCUAGUUGGUGAGGUAACGGCCCACCAAGGCGACGAUCGGUAGCUGGUUUGAGAGAACGACCAGCCACACUGGGACUGAGACACGGCCCAGACUCCUACGGGAGGCAGCAGUGGGGAAUCUUGGACAAUGGAGGAAACUCUGAUCCAGCCAUGCCGCGUGAGUGAUGAAGGCCUU
rnacentral:rRNA from 1 species